rnacentral:misc_RNA from 1 species
ACACCAGAGUCACCAGCUCCAAAUAUAUUGUAAACAUCAGUAGUGUGCAGGAUUAAUUCUCCAAGCCUUCAAUUUUCGUUCAGCAGGUUAAUCAGGAAAAUGAGCUGGGCAGGAGGAGAUUGGAUGUGCCCUUCAUGCCAACACAUAAAUUUCAAGAAAAGGGAAGCCUGCCAACAUUGCAGCUACCCCAAGUAUGGUGGCCCUGAUCCAACCACAUUCACAUACAACCGGCCAGGGGACUGGUAUUGCAUUGCCAUGAACUGUGGAUCCCAUAAUUACGCUAGCAGGUCAAGCUGCUAUAGAUGUGGUGCAAUGAAGAAUGAUUAUGGUGGGGGCUAUGGAGCAGGUAAUAUGUACGGCUCUGAUGGCAGUGUUCCUCCUGGAUGGAAAAAUGGUGAUUGGAUUUGCAGUAGAAUGGGAUGUGGAGAGCAUAAUUAUGCUAGCAGGACAGAAUGUUACAAAUGCAAAACACCAAGGGAUUACAGUGGUGGAGUUUAGCCAAGAAAAUGCAAUUACAAAGACCAUUUUUUUCUUUUGGCUGAUUAAAGACCAUCUUUCUUGCCUUCUAUUUGCAGAAGAAUAAUAAUGAUGAGCUUUAGAAUUAUGAUCACGUUCGAAGACGUGCCCAUAUUCAAGGGCUUAGUCAUGUAUUAGAAUUUGGAAGGCUUUCUGGCUUUUGUAUGAUUAUUGGUGUUCUUGCAUGAAAAUUAAAGAAUCCCUUCUGUUCUUCUUCUUCUUU